ACUCGGCUGCAAUGUAGGCUCAUAACGAGUGAAGCCAAGACUUCUAUUUUGGAGGAUUCCAAAUUUUCAGAGUUAAACAUUUUUUAACUAAAAGUUUUAAAUAGCAAAACAUUUAAAAAAUCAACAAGUGAUGGUGCCAUUUUUACCAACAUACUCGCGAGUGUGCACUUCAUUCUACUUUUAACUGCCUGCUGUCUGUUUCUGGCUUGGUACCACCUGGUCAAAUGGAUCCAAAGCUGUUCACGACAUUCUGUACAGUCUGUGGUAUCAGGAAAUUAGUGAAUGAUUGAAUGCUUCUCGAUAAUAGGCUGCGUUUGGUUGACUUUGGAUCCUCUAGGUCAGACACGUUUUUAUCUUGUCCUUAUACCUUGCUUCGUUGUGAAGCGCUGAAUAUAAAUGCUGAUCGUUCACCGAUCGCUCUUCGUAAUUGUCCAAGAAAUCUUUGGAUUUCUUAACCUUUCUUGUCAUGGAAUAUUCCAAUAUAAUGCUACACAAGAUUUUCCUAUUAUCAAUUACUCACGGUGAUAAGCGUUACCGGUCAGAUUCGCUGAAAAUUUUCUGUGUCGAGUACAUCAUGCAACUGGCACAUUUUCUUUUACCUUCAUUAUUCGUGUAAUCAGAAUGUACAAGAAGUAUGUAUCAUGUGCGUUAUGUAUGUUCUUCAACAUAGUCAAGAUGGACUUUCUUCAAUAAUUAUGUGUACUGUAAUAUUUAAGAAUAUUAUACACGUGGGUAAAAAAUGAUGGAUCAAAUGGCUGGAUCUCAAAUGAAUCGAAUCAUAACAGUCAACUGAAAUACGAGUGGAAGACAAAAAUCUGGCGACAGGCUGGAUGACAUUUCGACGGAUCGGCAGUUUCCAAAGCUGACGCGAGCUCUGUUCGCGUCUACGAACUUUCCGAUGUGAUCGGAAUAUAAUUCGUGCGAGGAUUUACGAGAAUGCAUAACGAUUCGAAUAGCAAUUCGAACUACGUAGAUAGCGAUACGUUGCCCAGGGCGGAAGGUGUAAACGAGAAAAUCAAAGGAACUUUGGGAAGAACCUCUUCUUUAUUACUUCAUUCAAAUACUAAAGUUAAUCUUGCCUUAUGUACAGUUUCUUUUUACUUAUUAAUUAAAUCAGUUUGCUAGAAGUAUUUUUUGCUGGCUAUGAGUCUUCUGCACAAAAUUUGUUAUUCUACAUUCAAUGCCUCAAAAUACCAUAAUGAUAACUCUAAUCAAUAUUAACAAUAAUAGUGUACUUUAGAACUGAAGAUAGUCUUACGAGGAUGCAGCUGCAGAGUCAUAGAUUUUACUAAAAGGCGUCGAUUGACCGACUGUCAUUAAGGAAUUACUUGUUAAAGUCGUAUGAAGAGACUCAGUUAGUUUAAUAUUGGCCGGAUGUCGAAUAAUACUUUCUGAUAAGUGACGAGAAGGUAUGCGAAGAUUCUUAUCUUUCCACGUAACACCGGUACGUAACACCGUGUGUAAUCGUGAGUUAAUUCGGUUCUGAAGAAUGUUUACCUAACUUGAGUGUGAUUCUAUAAGUAUGUUUGAUGGAGUGGAGAAUGUUUGUUAACAAUUUUCAAGGUCAGUAACAAUGAGUGGAUGAAACUGUAUAAAUUGAGGAUAGUAAAAAGUGUCAUUGGGGAGAAAUGGACGUUGAAUGGAGCAUGAAAUGCAUGUGUUGGAAGUGGAUGCGUUUGUAAGAUUUUAAAGUAACUUUCAUUUCUUAAAAUAUUAUUUCAUUUACUCAAGCGAUUUUGUAUUAUGUAUUCAAAUAUUUAAGAGAAUUAUAUGUUUUCCUGUGCUGCAUUAUUUUUCAAUUUCCCGCCUGUUUUUUGCGGGAAUUUCAAACGUAAUGCAAGUUUCAGAGUAAUAAUUCAUCAAUCAUGCAAAUGUCAGUAGAGUUUUUUAAAUAAACGAAUAAGUGACAGAAUGUUAUGGGGGUCAACGGGGUUUAAAAGAAGCCUCGUUCUCGCUGUUUGUAUCUUUUCGUCGGGAUGGAUGCGUUUCUCGGUUAGAAUUGCCGGACCAAGGGGAUUCACCGGAGAAAAAGCUCGAAAGAUUUGUACCUUAUGAAAAAUAUGGUAAUGUACAGGGUGAGCGGCCACGUUCGAUACCGUGGUUGUUCUCACCCAAUGGGAGACCAAGAUUCCACAAAGAUUUUGAGGCUUCAGACAGGACGCGUAAUUUGAAAAGUUCUGCAAAACAUGCAGAAAUGUUGAUCAACUUUAUUCUUUGUUUAUGAAGAGUUUAUUAGGAGGAAGGGAAGUCACGAUAUUUCAGGAGCUUCUCCGGGAAAAAUCGUUUAAUCAAGCUUUCAGUGCUUCAUAGUUACUCUCGAUUUUACAAUUGUCCACGGUCUUAUAUUUUUAAAACUGUUCACGAGGAAUUUUAAUAUGUAUCAGGUCUUUUCAGAUGGUUUCUAUAAAAAGUCAUUUUCAGUUGGAGGAUUGAAGACUAUGUCAGGAGGAAAAUGACUAUAUGAAUGAUUCAUUGAUAUUGUUAAUAGAAAGCUAAUAAUUCUAUUAAAUGACUAAUUCUUGAUUCUACAAAACUAGCAUGAUCUCAUGAGAUAAAAGAUGGCACACC
rnacentral:lncRNA from 1 species